rnacentral:rRNA from 1 species
CAGCGGCGGACGGGUGAGUAAUGCCUAGGAAUCUGCCCGAUAGUGGGGGACAACGUUUCGAAAGGAGCGCUAAUACCGCAUACGUCCUACGGGAGAAAGUGGGGGAUCUUCGGACCUCACGCUAUCGGAUGAGCCUAGGUCGGAUUAGCUAGUUGGUGAGGUAAUGGCUCACCAAGGCGACGAUCCGUAACUGGUCUGAGAGGAUGAUCAGUCACACUGGAACUGAGACACGGUCCAGACUCCUACGGGAGGCAGCAGUGGGGAAUAUUGGACAAUGGGCGAAAGCCUGAUCCAGCCAUGCCGCGUGUGUGAAGAAGGUCUUCGGAUUGUAAAGCACUUUAAGUUGGGAGGAAGGGCUGUCGGCUAAUACCCUGCAGUUUUGACGUUACCAACAGAAUAAGCACCGGCUAACUUCGUGCCAGCAGCCGCGGUAAUACGAAGGGUGCAAGCGUUAAUCGGAAUUACUGGGCGUAAAGCGCGCGUAGGUGGUUCAGCAAGUUGGAUGUGAAAGCCCCGGGCUCAACCUGGGAACUGCAUCCAAAACUACUGAGCUAGAGUACGGUAGAGGGUGGUGGAAUUUCCUGUGUAGCGGUGAAAUGCGUAGAUAUAGGAAGGAACACCAGUGGCGAAGGCGACCACCUGGACUGAUACUGACACUGAGGUGCGAAAGCGUGGGGAGCAAACAGGAUUAGAUACCCUGGUAGUCCACGCCGUAAACGAUGUCAACUAGCUGUUUGGGUUCCUUGAGAACUUAAGUAGCGAAGCUAACGCGAUAAGUUGACCGCCUGGGGGAAGUACGGCCGCAAAGGUU